ACUGAGUUAGGUCCAUUUUACCCCACAGGCGAUGGCCGUGGCCUCCGCGUUAACUCCAUGUCUUGGAACAAAGCCUCGAACUUGCUAUUUGUGGAGUCACCGGCUGGAGUAGGAUGGUCUUACUCCAACCGAAGCUCUGAUUACAACGCUGGAGACAGAUCUACUGCUAGCGAUAUGCUCGUGUUCUUGUUGAGAUGGUUGGACAAGUUCCCAAAGUUGAAGUCUCGCGACCUCUUUCUCACUGGCGAAAG